rnacentral:rRNA from 1 species
AUUGAACGCUGGCGGCAGGCUUAACACAUGCAAGUCGAGCGGGGGAAGGUAGCUUGCUACCGGACCUAGCGGCGGACGGGUGAGUAAUGCUUAGGAAUCUGCCUAUUAGUGGGGGACAACAUCUCGAAAGGGAUGCUAAUACCGCAUACGUCCUACGGGAGAAAGCAGGGGAUCUUCGGACCUUGCGCUAAUAGAUGAGCCUAAGUCGGAUUAGCUAGUUGGUGGGGUAAAGGCCUACCAAGGCGACGAUCUGUAGCGGGUCUGAGAGGAUGAUCCGCCACACUGGGACUGAGACACGGCCCAGACUCCUACGGGAGGCAGCAGUGGGGAAUAUUGGACAAUGGGGGGAACCCUGAUCCAGCUAUGCCGCGUGUGUGAAGAAGGCCUUAUGGUUGUAAAGCACUUUAAGCGAGGAGGAGGCCACUUUAGUUAAUACCUAGAGAUAGUGGACGUUACUCGCAGAAUAAGCACCGGCUAACUCUGUGCCAGCAGCCGCGGUAA